rnacentral:sRNA from 1 species
AUGGAUCAUUCGGUUUUCUGGUUUUUUUUUUUUAAUUUAAGGAGGAAAAAAAACAGAGGAAAUAUUGGUGUUUUCUUUUUUACUCAACAUCAACUUCAUUAGAUCAUCAAAUUAAGUAGGUGUUGGAUGAGAGUUAUGUUAUACAUUAAUGGUGUUGAAUAAGAA